rnacentral:rRNA from 1 species
GAUCAUGGCUCAGGAUGAACGCUAGCUACAGGCUUAACACAUGCAAGUCGAGGGGAAACGAUAUUGGAAGCUUGCUUCCGAUAGGCGUCGACCGGCGCACGGGUGAGUAACGCGUAUCCAACCUGCCCACCACUUGGGGAUAACCUUGCGAAAGUAAGACUAAUACCCAAUGAUAUCUCUAGAAGACAUCUGAAAGAGAUUAAAGAUUUAUUCGGUUGGAUGGAUGGGGAGUGCGGU